rnacentral:lncRNA from 1 species
AAAGUUUGUCCUGGUUUUCGUGACUUGAGCAGAGACCCAGCUGCCUCAUCACACCACCGGGUUUCUCAGAAGGAGGAUCCAUGGUGGACGAGACGGUGUCUGGUGCGCUUUAUAAACCAGCCCAGCUUUGGCUCAGGACAAACCACCCAUCUCCAGGGGCUGGUGUGUGUGCCUCUGCUGAUCGCAGCUGCUGACCUGUCUCCUGUACACUCCAGAUGCUGUGAUGCUCAGACAGCAAAACUUCUUUUCAGGCUCCCCAAGAAGGCAGGGACCCCGGUUCUCUCAAGAGCUAAUGUUGGAGCCAAUCAGUCUCAAGAGGGAGUCCCAGAAUCAAGAGGAAAUAUGGCCUUGCUCCUUGAUCCUGGGGUAGAGCAUGUCUUCCCUGCCCCCAUGGCCAGGCUGUGAACCUGCAGCUCAGAAAGUUGGCCUCCCUAGUGCCACACUCUGGAACCAUGUCAGCCACAUGAUUGUGGCUUCCUGGGGCCACGGCGUGUGCACUCUGCCUGUUCAUGUUGUGUUUUCCC